rnacentral:siRNA from 1 species
AUGCUUCCGCCUUAAGUCUUGAGA